rnacentral:rRNA from 1 species
GGAGGAAAGUAGGGGAUCGCAAGACCUUGCACUUUUGGAGCGGCCGAUGUCUGAUUAGCUAGUUGGUGGGGUAAUGGCCUACCAAAGCGUCGAUCAGUAGCUGGUCUGAGAGGACGGCCAGCCACACUGGGACUGAGACACGGCCCAGACUCCUACGGGAGGCAGCAGUGGGGAAUUUUGGACAAUGGGCGCAAGCCUGAUCCAGCCAUGCCGCGUGAGUGAAGAAGGCCUUCGGGUUGUAAAGCUCUUUCAGCCGGGAAGAAAAGGUUGCGAUUAAUAAUCGCAAUUUAUGACGGUACCAGAAGAAGAAGCACCGGCUAACUACGUGCCAGCAGCCGCGGUAAUACGUAGGGUGCGAGCGUUAAUCGGAAUUACUGGGCGUAAAGGGUGCGCAGGCGGUUUUGUAAGUCAGAUGUGAAAUCCCCGGGCUUAACCUGGGAACUGCGUUUGAAACUACAAAGCUA